rfam:Otolemur garnettii contig051379, whole genome shotgun sequence.
GGAUGUGAGGGCGAUCUGGCUGCGACAUCUGUCACUCCAUUGAUUGCCAGGGUUGAUUCAGCUGAUCUGGAUGGCUAGGCGGGUGUCCCCUUCCUCCCUCACCACUCCAUGUGCAUCCCUUCCGAGGCUGCGCGCUUGGUCAAAGAGGAUGACCUUCCCCGAUAGAGGAGGACCCUUCUUCGGUCAAGGGUAUACGAGUAGCGUUCCCCUGCUAGAACCUCCAAACAAGCUUUCAAGGUCCUAUAUGUCUAUUUUUUAAUUGCAUGGUAACUGUCAGAUCAGAUUAAAUCCCACAGGCAUAUUUUUCAAGACUUAUUUUUAAAGCAUUU